AUAAUGACUCUCGGCAACGGAUAUCUCGGCUCACGCAUCGAUGAAGAACGUAGCAAAAUGCGAUACUUGGUGUGAAUUGCAGAAUCCCGUGAACCAUCGAGUUUUUGAACGCAAGUUGCGCCCGAAGCCAUCUGGUUGAGGGCACGUCUGCCUGGGCGUCACGC
rnacentral:rRNA from 1 species